CUCAAUGAAAAUUUAAUAGCCGCAAUAUUAUUGUGCUAAGGUAGCAUAAUCAUUUGUCUUUUAAUUAAAGACUAGAACGAAAGAUCCUAUAUUUUUAUUUCUUUCUUAUAUAUAAAUUAUUUAAUUUAUUCUAAAUAUAAAAAAAUAUUUAUAACAUAAAAAGACGACAAGACCCUAUUGAACUUAACUAAAGUUAAACUGGGGUAGUUAAUUAAAUAUAAUUUUAAUUUAAAUUAUAAAAAUAUCCUAAUACAAUUAAACAUAUUAAGUUACCAUAGGGAUAACAGCGUAAUAAUUUUCUCAAGAUCUUAUAUAAAAAUUUGCUUACGACCUCGAUGUUGAAUUAAUAAUCUAUUAAAUGCAAUAAUUUAAUAAGAAAGUCUGUUCGACUU
rnacentral:rRNA from 1 species